rnacentral:lncRNA from 1 species
GCUUCCUUGGGGGUUCCCUUCCCGUUGGGGCAACCCUCGGACUCAACCGAAUGAAAACAGUCGGGUGGAGGCUGGAGACCGAGAGGAUUUUUAUCGACUGAAGGAUGUAUCAGUACCGAUGCAGAGGAAGCUCGUCACUGAGCAAGCUCUGUACGACGUCGGCCUGAGUUCGAUUCUCCGUUUAGGUACUGUUCGGUCGGUCGGUCGUUUUUAUCUUCUUUACCCAUCUUUGG